GCAGAAGGAUCAUUAGUGAAGAUUUGGGCAGGCCAUACGGACGCCAAAAAGUGUCCCUGGCCGCCUACACCCACUAUACAUCCACAAACCCGUGUGCACUGUCUUGGAGAAAGGCUUCAGAGAAGUUUUUUGUGGCCUCUCUUGGGGUCUUUCUUCGCUACAAACUCGAAUGGUUAGUAUGAACGUGAAACUUGGUUGGACCGUCACUGGCCAACAAACUAUACACAACUUUCGACAACGGAUCUCUUGGUUCUCCCA
rnacentral:misc_RNA from 1 species